CUUAAAAGAGUUGCCUGACUUUUAGAACACUUUAUUCAUGUAUAUUUCCUGUGUUUAUUGUUGCCUUAACUAAUUUUUUAAAUUAAAAUUACUUGAUCCAAGAUUUUAUUUAGCAACAAAUAUCAAAGUAACUUUUCUUUCAACAAACGAAGAGCUGUAUUUAGAUAUAAAAAAGCAUUUUUCUAUUUCUGAAUUUCUGAAAACAGAUUUUAGUUUCUUUCCAUCUCUAAGUGAUGUGUAUGACAGAAAAUUCCAGAAUUAGACAAAACUAAAUUUCUUUAUUUUUUUCAUGGCAUUUUGUAUUUUCAUUUUGUGUCUUAGUAUAUUUAUUUAUUUAUUUUUGUGUCUGUAAUGGUUGCUUUAAUUACCGUGGUGUUUCCAAAGGACAGUAUUGAAUAUUUAUCUGCCUGGACUGCCCUGAUGUUUACCUAACCACCUGGAAUUGAACAUCUACCAGCUAGAGAAAUGGAAAAAAGUCAUUGAGGGUAUUCCUAUGAAAAUAUAGUUCCAUUUUCCUACUGCAACCAUGCUUAAUCUCUCCGAGUUUUCCCCAAUCCCCUCUUAAAUCUGCCCUUUCAUUUGCUGUAGUUGCUCUAUAAACAUAUUUGUAGUAAUGACAAUAGCUACAACUUUUAGUCCUUAAUUCAAAACAGUAAAUAAAAACCAUUUCAGAGAGGGAAAAAAAAAAAAAAGGAACAUAGCACAGAGUCUCAGAGCAGAGAGAAAACACUUGUAUGGAAGAGGCUGAGCUAUGACCCUUAAGCUCACAGCAUUUUUAGGUUUUGCACCUGCCGUCAGGUGCUGAUGCCCAGCAGGUGGGGCAGGCUCUCCGGCCUGGUGCAAGAGGGCCCUCAGGCCUACCGCAGGCCUUAACAGCCCCACCUGGCCCCCAAUUUGUGGCACCAUUUAAGCUCCAGCUGAGGCCAUGUUCCCUUUUAGGCUGCCUUGUGGGGUUUUUCCCUUAAGUGCUCUUUCAGUUGCCUUGUUGUUUUGGCUCAUCCCUUGUCCCUGCAAUCCUCUGAGGCCUGCCCUGGUUGGCACAUGGGGCAGCAGGCUAGUGCCCAGCAGCUGUGAGGGGCAGUGCCUGCUGGUUUCCGUGGGGGGAGAGUGGUGCGUUCCCCCUGCCCUCAUCCACGCUGAAGACCUGGAGGAGAGAGCCAGCAGUUUGAAGUAUGUAGUAUUCAUGUCCUCCAGGGCAAUCUGAAAUAGCUGCUUCUUCUACCUUGAUUGGAAGGAGCUGACAGCAUGGAUGGACAGAAGAGGGCCAUAUUCAAGAAAGACCUAACCUUAUUCUAUGCUGUUUUGAUCUGAUGACUGCUGGAGACUCUGUAGGACUUGCCACUGCUCUGCUCAACCAGCUCCUGUGCUGUGGGACUGCGCUAUGUUGAAUGUGGACUUCAUCCCACAAUCUUACACUGAAGAAAAAAUGAGCUACAAAGAAUAAUGAUCCAUGAAUUCUAGAGAGGGACACAGGCUAGGUGCUUUGGCUGGACUUCUUUUCCUAUGGGGCAUGUGCAAUCAUACAACUGCUGUGAGUCAGCUUGGUGUGGUGGAAGCUUAUAGUGUGAGAUGUGCAAUGGUUACCAUGGCGUAGAGUGAGCGAAGGAGCAUAAGCACAAGGGAGCACAAGUCCCUUUACUGCAGGGUUAUCUCAGGAAAGUGAGGAGUGCAUCAACCUAGGCUAAUACUCUGAUAUUCUUCUGCUAUUCAUAUUUGCAAGUCUGAGACGAGAAAUAGUUAGAGGGGAGAUGGAUGUCAGAUGGGUACGUGUGUCCUUUAAUCUGUAUUCAGUGCCUGUAUCAAAGGCUCCAAUAUGUGCAUGUGUAGGCAACAAAUUUCACGUAGAUUUAUAUUUGGUUUAUAAAUCCACCAUUCAGAGUUGAGAAAUAAUCUAUGCAGUUUCAGAAGAAGGUAAGAUAAAGGUGCUUAUCAGAUUCCUAUUGGGAAUGGCAAUAAGUAGUUUAUAGCCAGUUUCAGUUAACAUAAGCUUUCCAUAAAUAAGAUACAUAACUUUUUACAUGUGUAGACUAAGGCCAAAGGCUCCCUUCACUCUUUGCGAGCACUGACAUUAAAUUUUUUAUUAGUACCCGUGAUGAAUAAUGCACUUGACUACAGUUUUGACUGUACCAUUGAGAGAAACUACCAUGUAUUUCUUGGAGAUGUUCAUAAACAGCCAAGUUUAAUGCUGAAAAAAGUUUUUUUUUUAAUUAAUUACUUCUUUUCCAAGUUUAAGUUUUUUUCACCACUGAUAUGUGCACCCUUUCUUGCAGCACUGGUAUCCCUGUUGCUGCCAUCAUAUUGUUUGUGUUCCUGUGGCUGGCUUUCAGGCUGUCAUUUCUUUAUGUCCUGAGGCUAUUGUGCUAGACUUUUACAAAAGAGUCCUGGAUGUAACCUUGCUGCUGUCACA